AUUGAACGCUGGCGGCAUGCCUUACACAUGCAAGUCGAACGGCAGCAUGAUCUAGCUUGCUAGAUUGAUGGCGAGUGGCGAACGGGUGAGUAAUACAUCGGAACGUGCCCUGUAGUGGGGGAUAACUAGUCGAAAGAUUAGCUAAUACCGCAUACGACCUGAGGGUGAAAGUGGGGGACCGCAAGGCCUCAUGCUAUAGGAGCGGCUGAUGUCUGAUUAGCUAGUUGGUGAGGUAAAGGCUCACCAAGGCGACGAUCAGUAGCUGGUCUGAGAGGACGAUCAGCCACACUGGGACUGAGACACGGCCCAGACUCCUACGGGAGGCAGCAGUGGGGAAUUUUGGACAAUGGGCGAAAGCCUGAUCCAGCAAUGCCGCGUGUGUGAAGAAGGCCUUCGGGUUGUAAAGCACUUUUGUCCGGAAAGAAAUGGCUCUGGUUAAUACCUGGGGUCGAUGACGGUACCGGAAGAAUAAGGACCGGCUAACUACGUG
rnacentral:rRNA from 1 species